CAAAUACUCCCUCCGUCCCAAAAUUCUUGUCUUAGAUUUGUUUAGAUAUGAAUGUAUCUAGUCAAGUUUUAGUAUUUAGAUACAUCCAUUUUUAGACAAAGCUAAGACAAGAAUUUUGAGACGGAGGGAGUAUAAU
rnacentral:pre_miRNA from 1 species